rnacentral:lncRNA from 1 species
UCACAAUACACUCAACUAUUUUAUUAAAACUCGUAUCACUCUCAAACGGGAAUGAAAUUGGAGAAUAGUAUAAAUCAAGUAUCCAGGAACAUAUUAAUGACCAAUAAUCUCCAUAGGCUGAAAUCAGAGAUGAUUAUAGACAAUGCUCAAAUCGUUAAAGUAAGUAUGAAUCUGGGACAUAUUAAUGACCAAUAAUCUCCAUAGGCUGAAUCCUGUAUACGAGGGCAAUAGGUAGCUACAUAUACAAAAUUUCAAAACAGCAGUAAACACAGAAGAUCUCAAAUCAGGUCUAGUAUUUGAUCUGCUUUUAUAAAAGGUAGGGCAAAAUGUAAAGUAACGUACUGUCAUUAGUCGUACGGGAUCUGAAUGUAAGCCGCAUCGCACACGAACGGAAUGUCGGAAUACAUCCCAGCAAGGGCACACCUUAUGCACUCCAACACUGUGAACAAAUACGCAAACGCCAUAGCAGUCCAGAAAUGCAUUCCAACCUUGCCCCAGUAUACGGCAAGUGGCAUCCAUCGACUCACGGUUCCAAUAACCUGCAAGGCAAUCUCCAGCAACAUGCCCAUAACCACAUGGAAUCUAAAGAAAUGGGGCCACUCCUUUCGUCUCACGACUCCAAGGUAAGCAACAAAGAAGUAUGCCAUCAGAAACCAGCUUGGUAGCCUCCCUAAUGCUCCCAAGAAAGGAUAAGUCACAAACUCAAAAUCCUCGAGGAAAGGAUGUAGGUGAUACGCUGUUUCAGCAUACAUCCAUGUCUCGUGUAGAGGCAUCAGAUACGGGAGGCAGGCCAAGGUUCUCCACCACCAUCUCGGCUUCUUUGUCAUAGCAGGGUACCGGUAACUGGAAGGCACAUCUUUGGACGCUCUUGGAGCCAACGACUGCCGAUGCCUCGUAGGAAAUUUGGGAAUAGUGUGAAACAAACUCCCUUGUUCUCCAUGUAAGAGUGGUGAUGAUGCAGCAGAAAGACACAAGUGCUGGAUGC